AUUGAACGCUGGCGGCAUGCCUUACACAUGCAAGUCGAACGGCAGCACGGGGGGUAACCCCUGGUGGCGAGUGGCGAACGGGUGAGUAAUAUAUCGGAACGUGUCCUGUAGCGGGGGAUAACCUAUCGAAAGAUGGACUAAUACCGCAUACGACCCACGGGUGAAAGCGGAGGACCGCAAGGCUUCGCACUCUAGGAGCGGCCGAUAUCGGAUUAGCUAGUUGGCGGGGUAACGGCCCACCAAGGCGACGAUCCGUAGCUGGUCUGAGAGGACGAUCAGCCACACUGGAACUGAGACACGGUCCAGACUCCUACGGGAGGCAGCAGUGGGGAAUUUUGGACAAUGGGCGCAAGCCUGAUCCAGCCAUGCCGCGUGAGUGAGGAAGGCCUUCGGGUUGUAAAGCUCUUUCGGCGGGGACGAAACGGUUCGUGCUAAUACCACGGACUACUGACGGUACCCGCAGAAGAAGCACCGGCUAACUACGUG
rnacentral:rRNA from 1 species